AGGGUUUGAUCCUGGCUCAGAACGAACGCUGGCGGCAGGCCUAACACAUGCAAGUCGAGCGCACCUUCGGGUGAGCGGCGGACGGGUUAGUAACGCGUGGGAACAUACCCUUCUCUAAGGAAUAGCCUCGGGAAACUGAGAGUAAUACCUUAUACGCCCUACGGGGGAAAGAUUUAUCGGAGAAGGAUUGGCCCGCGUUAGAUUAGAUAGUUGGUGGGGUAAUGGCCUACCAAGUCUACGAUCUAUAGCUGGUUUGAGAGGAUGAUCAGCAACACUGGGACUGAGACACGGCCCAGACUCCUACGGGAGGCAGCAGUGGGGAAUCUUAGACAAUGGGCGAAAGCCUGAUCUAGCCAUGCCGCGUGAGUGAUGAAGGCCUUAGGGUCGUAAAGCUCUUUCGCCAGAGAUGAUAAUGACAGUAUCUGGUAAAGAAACCCCGGCUAACUCCGUGCCAGCAGCCGCGGUAAUACGGAGGGGGUUAGCGUUGUUCGGAAUUACUGGGCGUAAAGCGUACGUAGGCGGACUAGUCAGUCAGAGGUGAAAUCCCAGGGCUCAACCCUGGAACUGCCUUUGAUACUGCUAGUCUUGAGUUCGAGAGAGGUGAGUGGAAUUCCGAGUGUAGAGGUGAAAUUCGUAGAUAUUCGGAGGAACACCAGUGGCGAAGGCGGCUCACUGGCUCGAUACUGACGCUGAGGUACGAAAGUGUGGGGAGCAAACAGGAUUAGAUACCCUGGUAGUCCACACC
rnacentral:rRNA from 1 species